rnacentral:rRNA from 1 species
CCUACGGGAGGCAGCAGUGAGGAAUAUUGGUCAAUGGGCGGGAGCCUGAACCAGCCAAGUCGCGUGAAGGAAGAAGGUACUUAGUAUUGUAAACUUCUUUUGUCGGGGAACAAAGGCGGAGACGCGUCUCCGGAUGAGUGUACCCGAAGAAAAAGCAUCGGCUAACUCCGUGCCAGCAGCCGCGGUAAUACGGAGGAUGCGAGCGUUAUCCGGAUUUAUUGGGUUUAAAGGGUGCGUAGGCGGUUUUUUAAGUUAGUGGUUAAACGUCGGGGCUUCACCUUGAUUUGCCAUUAAUACUGUAGGAC